rnacentral:rRNA from 1 species
AACGAACGCUGGCGGCGUGGAUUAGGCAUGCAAGUCGUACGCGAAAGUCUCCUUCGGGGGGCGAGUAGAGUGGCGAACUGGUGAGUACAAGGUGACUGACCUGCCUCGAAGCGGGGGAUAACUCCGGGAAACCGGAGCUAAUACCGCAUGGUCUCUCGGGUUUACGGAUUCGGGAGUAAAGCAGUGAUGUGCUUCGAGAUGGGGUCACCUCCAUUAGCUAGUUGGUGGGGUAACGCCACAGGCUUCGAUGGGUAGCUGGUCUGAGAGGAUGCAGCCACAUUGGGACUGAGAGACGGCCCAGACUCCUACGGGAGGCAGCAGUGGGGAAUCUUGCGCAAUGGCCGAAAGGCUGACGCAGCGACGCCGCGUGGGGAUGAAGGCC